AAUAGAUACCCUGGUAGUCCACGCCGUAAACGAUGAGUGCUAAGUGUUAGAGGGUUUCCGCCCUUUAGUGCUGCAGCUAACGCAUUAAGCACUCCGCCUGGGGAGUACGGCCGCAAGGCUGAAACUCAAAGGAAUUGACGGGGGCCCGCACAAGCGGUGGAGCAUGUGGUUUAAUUCGAAGCAACGCGAAGAACCUUACCAGGUCUUGACAUCCUCUGCCAACCCUAGAGAUAGGGCGUUCCCCUUUGGGGGACAGAGUGACAGGUGGUGCAUGGUUGUCGUCAGCUCGUGUCGUGAGAUGUUGGGUUAAGUCCCGCAACGAGCGCAACCCUUGAUCUUAGUUGCCAGCAUUCAGUUGGGCACUCUAAGGUGACUGCCGGUGACAAACCGGAGGAAGGUGGGGAUGACGUCAAAUCAUCAUGCCCCUUAUGACCUGGGCUACACACGUGCUACAAUGGAUGGUACAAAGAGCUGCGAACCCGCGAGGGUAAGCGAAUCUCAUAAAGCCAUUCUCAGUUCGGAUUGU
rnacentral:rRNA from 1 species